AGUGAACGCUGGCGGUAGGCCUAACACAUGCAAGUCGAACGGCAGCACAGUAAGAGCUUGCUCUUACGGGUGGCGAGUGGCGGACGGGUGAGGAAUACAUCGGAAUCUACUUUUUCGUGGGGGAUAACGUAGGGAAACUUACGCUAAUACCGCAUACGACCUACGGGUGAAAGCAGGGGAUCUUCGGACCUUGCGCGAUUGAAUGAGCCGAUGUCGGAUUAGCUAGUUGGCGGGGUAAAGGCCCACCAAGGCGACGAUCCGUAGCUGGUCUGAGAGGAUGAUCAGCCACACUGGAACUGAGACACGGUCCAGACUCCUACGGGAGGCAGCAGUGGGGAAUAUUGGACAAUGGGCGCAAGCCUGAUCCAGCCAUACCGCGUGGGUGAAGAAGGCCUUCGGGUUGUAAAGCCCUUUUGUUGGGGAAGAAAAGCAGCAGGUUAAUCCACCGCUGUUCUGACGGUACCCAAAGAAUAAGCACCGGCUAACUUCGUG
rnacentral:rRNA from 1 species